UAACAUUUUGAACCGCAUGGUUCGAAAUUGAAAGGCGGCUUCGGCUGUCACUUAUGGAUGGACCCGCGUCGCAUUAGCUAGUUGGUGAGGUAACGGCUCACCAAGGCAACGAUGCGUAGCCGACCUGAGAGGGUGAUCGGCCACACUGGGACUGAGACACGGCCCAGACUCCUACGGGAGGCAGCAGUAGGGAAUCUUCCGCAAUGGACGAAAGUCUGACGGAGCAACGCCGCGUGAGUGAUGAAGGCUUUCGGGUCGUAAAACUCUGUUGUUAGGGAAGAACAAGUGCUAGUUGAAUAAGCUGGCACCUUGACGGUACCUAACCAGAAAGCCACGGCUAACUACGUGCCAGCAGCCGCGGUAAUACGUAGGUGGCAAGCGUUAUCCGGAAUUAUUGGGCGUAAAGCGCGCGCAGGUGGUUUCUUAAGUCUGAUGUGAAAGCCCACGGCUCAACCGUGGAGGGUCAUUGGGAAACUGGGAGACUUGAGUGCAGAAGAGGAAAGUGGAAUUCCAUGUGUAGCGGUGAAAUGCGUAGAGAUAUGGGAGGAACACCAGUGGCGAAGGCGACUUUUCUGGUCUGUAACUGACACUGAGGCGCGAAAGCGUGGGGGAGCA
rnacentral:rRNA from 1 species